rnacentral:rRNA from 1 species
UGGUAGUGUAUUGGACAACCAUGGCAGUCACGGGUAACGGAGAAUUAGGGUUCGAUUCCGGAGAGGGAGCCUGAGAAACGGCUACCACAUCUACGGAAGGCAGCAGGAGCGAAAAUUGCCCAAUCCCGACACGGGGAGGCAGUGACGAGAAAUAACAACUCUUGGUUAUUCUAAGAAGUGUAAUGAGGAUAAUUUAAAACCCUUACCGAAAGCAAUUGGAGGGCAAGUCUGGUGCCAGCAGCUGCGGUAAUUCCAGCUCCAAUAGCGUAUAUUAAAGUUGUUGCAGUUAAAAAGCUCGUAGUUGAAGUUCUGGCUGUUCGAUCCUCGAGCUCUGUAGCCGAGGACUCGACAGUCAUCCGCUUGCAAAUAUCGUUCGCCUUUAAACGGGUGGCUAUAUGAGUAAGCAAUUUACCUUGAGAAAAACAGAGUGUUCCAGGCAGGUUUGUCCGGAAUGCAUUAGCAUGGAAUAAUAGAAUAUGACUGAAGUCGAUUUAUUGGUUUGAGGCUUUAGUAAUGAUAAAUAGGAACAGUCGGGGGCAUUGGUACUUGUCAGUCAGAGGUGAAAUUCUAGGAUUUGACAAAGACUAACAAAUGCGAAAGCAUUUGCCAAGGAUGUUUUCAUUAAUCAAGAACGAAAGUUAAGGGAUCAAAGACGAUCAGA